GUGGGUGAGACAGCAACCACCCCUGGUUUCGAAAUUCCUAGUGCCAGUUUGGGCCACCCAGUCUCCCACUUGAUCGGUCUUGGUUUGUCUACUGGUAAGANNNNNNNNNNUCCUAUAGACAAAAUCCUUGGCCUACUUCAAUUGACUUCUGCAAUUGUUGCCAGAAUCUCCCAUUUCAUGUCUUCACUUCCCCCUUUUAUACGCUCUAUUAAUGGGAAAGACUACGAUUCGUUCAAAGUUUAAUUAACUUCACUAGCAGCUGCGUCUGCUGCUUCCAUCAAGAUCAAUCAUUUCUUGGAAUAAUCUCGAUUUUUGUUAUUUAUAUUCUCAUCAUGUCAUUGAAGACGGUAAUAGCAUUCUAGGAAUCAGAUGGGCAGAAGAGAGUUCUUGGUGAAAUCUGGAUUUUUGUGUUUCUUCUUAUUCAAUUUGUUCUCACUUGCGUAUUGUUCUGUAAUUUAUAACAUAAC
rnacentral:misc_RNA from 1 species